UUUUCUAUCAAACAUCUAUCUCCCUCUCGCCUGAUUCCCCUUUCUCGCCCAACUUCCAUGACUAUGACGCUGCCGCCACCGCCGCCAAUUGUUUUGAGGAACAUACUAGUGCCACCACAAGCCAUCCACACCGCGAGUCCCCAGCCCAUGAUGGCCGCAGCAGGCCACCAUGCGUGCGCGAGCAGCCGCCGCUGCCGAACUGGCCUGGCCAGAUCUGGGCCCAAGCGUACAUGAGAGCAGCAGCUCCGUGCACCACCGACCACCGCAUCCACCGUACCUCUCCGCUGCAAGCAUGCACCAGCGCUGGAGCCCUGGAGGAACCACCCCGCCGCCGUGGCCCCCCACCGCGUAGACCACUACCUGCCUCCACGAGGUCCCCCAACUCGUGAGCGCGACACUUGACUCCGGGAGAAACAGAUCUCGCCGGGGCGGCUCUGCACGGGAUUUGACUGUCGGAGGUUGGUGGUGAUGGAGAGAGGGAGGAGGUGGAGCCAGCAACAUUGUAGGGCCGGUAACAACACUCAUCUUGAGAGACAUGCACAAUUCCUCCGAAUCAUUGUAAUCUUUAACUGUUUAUUCCAUAAGAGCACGUUCUGGACAAAUUGAUAUGCAACUUCGAACUAUUGGUAUCACAGGUUUUGGUGGUAACACAUGCUCACCUUCAGUUCAAACCAACAACAAUGAUCAUGAACUGGUACCCUGUUUGUUUAUUUGGAGCACACACAGAUGAAUCGUGGUGCACACCAUUUCAUAGUGUCGAAGUAUGGAUUGUAACCUUCCUGUUAUAUACACAAGUGAUUUAUUCUGAACCCUAGUGCCACGGGUGUCUGGCAUGAUUCUCUCACCAAUGGUUUCUAGGCCCACUACCUCGCGUCUGCACACGAGUUGCUGCGCUUAGGCCUGACGGUGUUGUGCCUCGCAGGCUACCUAUGUCGGCACUUAAUCUUGACUGCAGGUUGGAUCUGACACAAAUUGCCUUAUGGGCGCGUAAUGUAGCUACGGUUCAGUUGUUGAUGAUUCCCCCCUUCUGUUUUCAAGAUAAAACAUGCAUUGAACAUAUGAUUAACUCUAUUGACAUCUAUGCAGGAGCUCCAGGCUUCCUCUACAUUGGCUUCGGGUUGUCAUACCAUGAAAUUUCCAAGCUCUGCAAAUCAAUUCUGCGCUGAAGUUGUACUGCUCCAUGACAAGUAGGUUAGUAGCACAAACUUUCCUGACCACCAAUAAGAUAUGUGUCGAGUGUAUCUAAUUAUAUUUUCCACCUGUAUAUUAUCAUGUGAUUUUUUCCAUGAAUUUUUUGUGCCUACUAGAUGAAAGCUAACAGUUUGUCAGUCUCUAAAUACUUGGAGUAGCUGUGAUUUUGGUAUGAAGUUUCCAGGUCAUGUUUCAAACAGUUGACAAUAGAUGCACAAAUAAAUAGGACUAUGUUAAGAUCUUUAGCUUGCCUUUGCUGAUUUGUAAGGGAUUAACUUACUUUAAUGGCAUGCAGCUUCAGGGCAGAUAGAUAUGUACAGAUUACUACAUCGUCGGAGAGUAAGGUAACCCAUUCGCUCAUCGAUUAGGUAUUUUGUACAUUCCCAUAUUUUGCCCAUUACCCUAUUUUGUACAUUCCUAUAGAUUUUGAUGUUCAGUUAUUGAAUGGCAUGACAAAUGAUACAACAUUAGGAAGCUAAAAGGUCACAAAGAUCAAAUUCUUUUGAUAUAUAAUAUGCCACAUUGGCAGCAAUGGCUUAUGGGUAGUAUUUCUUAAAACUAGGUAAGUAUUGAAAAAAAAACUAAUCAGCCAUGGUCUGCUUUUAUUCAGACUGUUCAGCCAUUACAUAGGUCCCCUUUUGAUGCAUUUUCAUAAAUAUGCAUUUAGCUUAUGUACUAGGUUGGUCUUCAACAAUUAAUUAGUGGCAAAUCAAUUUCUCUUCUUGUGUAAACAUCUUGGAUCUCACUUUCUCUAGAAACAAAACAUCCAAACUUUUUCCUAGAGAAGCCCAAACGAAUUCAUGCCCCAUCUAGGGCGGCCAAGACCAUAGUCGUGGCUCAUCUCUUCUAAAUAUUUGUUUGUGUCUGAUGUCCUCAUCUCAGAUUGUGGUGGUGUUGCGGUAAGAGUGGAACCAAACUUCCUAUAGCGGCUCAGUAUAGUAUGGUUCCUCCGAUUUAUCUUUCCUAACUUCUAAUGAAUUAUUCUCUCAUGUCCUCUCUUCUAAUUAGGGCAUGAUCUUGUCUGUAAUAAUUAGAUCAUGCUAUCCAGCAAGGCUGCGUCAGGGGCUCAGGCCAGGCAUGAUGGCAAGCAGAGUGGAUUAGAAAGUUAUCCAACAACACCCCUUUUCCAUUUCACAGUUAACAAUGCCAACUGCCCCAAAUCUGAUGAUGUGUUCCUUUUUCAUGUUGUUCCCUCUACAGGUUCUGAGAAUGCACUCAUGGAUUGAAAAUUUCUAAUGUCCGAAGUUGUAGUUCUCAGGUUGAUGAGAAGUUCAAUACUAGGUGAUUACUUGGAUCCUUGGAUAAUUUAUGCUGAUCUUUGGUACUUGGAGGAGAGUGAAGACAGUUCACAGAAUUUUAGAAAUUUAUAUGCUUUAAAAUGUUUCAUUUUCUAGGAAAUUGAUGUAGUCCUAAUAGACGAUACUUGCAUUGCAAUGUAACAAAUUAUGCCUUUGAAUCAAUAUAUUAGUUUCAUUUCUACGAA